AUUGAACGCUGGCGGCAGGCUUAACACAUGCAAGUCGAGCGGGGUGAUGGUGCUUGCACUAUCACUUAGCGGCGGACGGGUGAGUAAUGCUUAGGAAUCUGCCUAUUAGUGGGGGACAACAUCUCGAAAGGGAUGCUAAUACCGCAUACGUCCUACGGGAGAAAGCAGGGGAUCACCUGUGACCUUGCGCUAAUAGAUGAGCCUAAGUCGGAUUAGCUAGUUGGUGGGGUAAAGGCCUACCAAGGCGACGAUCUGUAGCGGGUCUGAGAGGAUGAUCCGCCACACUGGGACUGAGACACGGCCCAGACUCCUACGGGAGGCAGCAGUGGGGAAUAUUGGACAAUGGGGGGAACCCUGAUCCAGCCAUGCCGCGUGUGUGAAGAAGGCCUUAUGGUUGUAAAGCACUUUAAGCGAGGAGGAGGCUCUUUUGGUUAAUACCCAAGAUGAGUGGACGUUACUCGCAGAAUAAGCACCGGCUAAUUCUGUGCCAGCAGCCGCAGUAA
rnacentral:rRNA from 1 species